UACAGAGGUCUCAAGCGUUGUUCGGAUUCAUUGGGCGUAAAGGGUGCGUAGGCGGCGCGGUAAGUCGGGUGUGAAAUCUCGGAGCUUAACUCCGAAACUGCAUUCGAUACUGCCGUGCUUGAGGACUGGAGAGGAGACUGGAAUUUACGGUGUAGCGGUGAAAUGCGUAGAUAUCAGGAGGAACACCGGUGGCGAAGGCGGUUCUCUGGGCCUGACCUGACGCUGAGGAGCGAAAGCGUGGGGAGCGAACAGG
rnacentral:rRNA from 1 species